rnacentral:rRNA from 1 species
CCUACGGGUGGCAGCAGUGAGGAAUAUUGGUCAAUGGGCGCGAGCCUGAACCAGCCAAGUCGCGUGAGGGAAGACGGUCCUAUGGAUUGUAAACCUCUUUUGUCGGGGAGCAAAAGACGCCACGCGUGGGGUUCCGAGAGUACCCGAAGAAAAAGCAUCGGCUAACUCCGUGCAAGCAGCCGCGGUAAUACGGAGGAUGCGAGCGUUAUCCGGAUUUAUUGGGUUUAAAGGGUGCGCAGGCGGAAGAUCAAGUCAGCGGUAAAAUUGAGAGGCUCAACCUCUUCGAGCCGUUGAAACUGGUGUUCUUGAGUGAGCGAGAAGUAGGCGGAAUGCGUGGUGUAGCGGUGAAAUGCAUAGAGAUCACGCAGAACUCCGAUUGCGAAGGCAGCAUACCGGCGCUCAACUGACGCUCAUGCACGAAAGUGUGGGUAUCGAACAGGAUUAGAUACCCCAGUAGUC